rnacentral:tRNA from 1 species
CCCUGACUCAGUCAGUAAAGAAUCUGCCUGCAAUGCAGGAGACCCAGGUUCAAUCCCUGGGUCAGGAA